UCAUAAAAAUGGGAAAUUUGGACAGAGACAUGCACACAGGGAGAAAGCCAUGUGACCAUGAAGGAAUAGAUAGGGGUGAUGCUCUUGCAAGCCAAGAGACACCAAAGAUUGCCAGUCAACACCCAGAAGCUGGGAGAACAGGCAAAAUCACCUAAGAAAAAACCUAUUUAAAAAUAAAGUAUUGAAUAUCUCACAUAAUGUAUCAAAUACUGAACUGCAAGUGAAAAGCAGAAUGGUUGUAUGG
rnacentral:lncRNA from 1 species